AUUGAACGCUGGCGGAAUGCUUUACACAUGCAAGUCGAACGGUAGAGGGGGCAACCCCUCGAGAGUGGCGAACGGGUGAGUAAUAUAUCGGAACGUGCCCAGUCGUGGGGGAUAACGUAGCGAAAGUUACGCUAAUACCGCAUACGAUCUAAGGAUGAAAGCGGGGGAUCGCAAGACCUCGCGCGAUUGGAGCGGCCGAUAUCAGAUUAGGUAGUUGGUGGGGUAAAGGCUCACCAAGCCAACGAUCUGUAGCUGGUCUGAGAGGACGACCAGCCAGACUGGAACGGGGACACGGUCCAGACUCCUACGGGAGGCAGCAGUGGGGAAUUUUGGACAAUGGACGCAAGUCUGAUCCAGCCAUUCCGCGUGCAGGAUGAAGGCCCUCGGGUUGUAAACUGCUUUUGUACGGAACGAAAAGGUCUCUCUUAAUACGGGGGACUCAUGACGGUACCGUAAGAAUAAGCACCGGCUAACUACGUGCCAGCAGCCGCCGUAA
rnacentral:rRNA from 1 species